GGAGGCGUAGCUCAGUUGGUUAGAGCACUUGCUUGACAUGCAAGGGGUCAUUGGUUCAAGUCCAACCGUCUCCACCA
rnacentral:tRNA from 1 species